rnacentral:RNase_P_RNA from 1 species
UAAGUAGGGCAAGUAAUCGCUUGUUUUCACUUUAAUGAUGAAAAACAAGAGGAAAGUCCGGACUCCACGAGGACAUGAUGGUGGCUAAUAACCACGGGGAGAAAUCCUACGGAAAGUGCAACAGAAAAUAAACCGCUAUUUGUAGAAAUAUAAGUAGUAAGGGUGAAAAGGCGAGGUAAGAGCUCACCACAGGUGCAGAAAUGUUACUUGUUUGUAAACCCCAUCAGGAGCAAUACCAAGUUAGAUGUUGUUAAUUUAUUAACAGUGCUGUCUUCGCAUAAAACAUCGUGGUAGGUAGCUUGAAACUAUAAGUAAUUAUUGUUCUAGAUUAAUGAUUACAAAAACAGAAUUCGGCUUAUGCUCUACUGUUUGG